AUUUGUAGGUUACUUUGGGUGACAAGAGCAUGUGAUAUUUCAAAAUGUGUGAAGAGAAUCUAAUCAAUCCAAAGGACUACAUAGAUAUGGGUGCAAGGCAAUAGUAAUCACAAAAAAACUUUAAUUUGCCCCACACUACCCAAUGCUUUCACUCUCUUACCAAACAAAAGAAAAACAAAAUAUUAGCACUACCCUUACUUGCCAUAUCUCAUUUCCUACACCCAUUAUAUAUACUCCCCUCUCCUUUCAACAAUCCUCACUUCUCUCUUCAUUCGCUGUUUCAUCUUAGUAGCAGUUUUGAGUUGUUUCUAAAUUGCUCUUCUUGUUUUUUGUUUUUUUUUUCAUUUUUCAUUUUCUACCUAGGGUUAUCUUUUUCAGUCUUUUUUUUUCUUUCCUUUACCACACAUCUGUAUAUAUAUGUAGAUCGAUUCAAGAAGCCUUGUGGUUUUCUGGGUUUUGAUCUUUUUCUUUUGUUGUUAUGAGAGGUUUGUGUCUAAGGUUUUUUUGAGAUGGAAGUUGAGGACAGUCUUUGGGCAGUUUCUUAGGACAGGAUUUAGGUUGACUUUUGUUGUCUUUAUAUGUGAUAUAAGAAUGUUUUAGGGUUUUGAGAGUGGAGCUCCUUGAAGUCCAACAGAGGAUCUAACAGGUCUGUAGAUCUUAAUUCCUAUUUCUGGGUUCUGAAGAAAUCGAAGUUUAUCAGCUUGUUGGAUUUGCAAAAUCUAUCAGCGCAGGUUUAUCAGAUAAAGCAAGCCCCAGCAGCUUUUUCCUUUGUCCAGAUUUGAGAUGCAGAAAACAUUUUUACAUCUGUUUUUUUGCAGUAGUGUACAAUUAAGGAAAUAGUUUUAACUUCAUCUUCUUUGUAACAAAACAUGUAUAUAUAUUACAUUAUUUCUGUAAAUCGAUAACGCAUCGUUAAGUGAAUGUCUAGUGUUUUCUAUAAAUAACAGUUUUGGGUUAAUUCUGUA